CCUACGGGGAGCAGCAGUGGGGAAUAUUGCACAAUGGGGGAAACCCUGAUGCAGCGACGCCGCGUGAGUGAAGAAGUAAUUCGUUAUGUAAAGCUCUAUCAGCAGGGGAAAAAAUGACGGUACCUGAGUAAGAAGCCCCGGCUAACUACGUGCCAGCAGCGGCGGUAAGACGUAGGGGGCCAGCGUUAUCCGGAUUUAAGGGGUGUAAAGGGAGCGUAGACGGCAGUGCAAGUCUGGAGGGAAAGGCGGGGGCUCAACCCCCGGACUGCGCUGGAAACUGUACGGCUGGAGUGCAGGAGAGGUAAGUGGAAUUCCUAGUGUAGCGGUGAAAUGCGUAGAUAUUAGGAGGAACACCAGUGGCGAAGGCGGCUUACUGGACUGUAACUGACGUUGAGGCUCGAAAGCGUGGGGAGCAAACAGGAUUAGAUACCCCUGUAGUC
rnacentral:rRNA from 1 species